rnacentral:misc_RNA from 1 species
UCCGAGUUGACCCCGGCGGUCCGGUCCAUGUCAAGCCUUGGUAAGGUUCUUCGCGUUGCAUCGAAUUAAUCCGCAUGCUCCGCCGCUUGUGCGGGCCCCCGUCAAUUCCUUUGAGUUUUAGCCUUGCGGCCGUACUCCCCAGGCGGGGCACUUAAUGCGUUAGCUACGGCGCGGAAAACGUGGAAUGUCCCCCACACCUAGUGCCCAACGUUUACGGCAUGGACUAC